UCACUGAUAUUAUCACGGAAAAAGCAUGCACUUACCACUUACCGCUACAAACGAGUUUAGAUUUGUUCUAAUGACUUAUGAAAAGUGUUUGCAUAUUUGUGAAUGAUCUCUGGUAAAGUAAUUAAAUGUUGUAAUAUCAAUUAACUCCAACUAUUUAUAGAGGAUUUUAGUCAAACACAUUCUGUGUAUGAGAUUAGUCUAUCUUGUAAUUAGAUCAUUUGAUUCGUACGCCCCCGUAGAUCUUUCGCGCGUGCGUGUAGUAGAGGAAAUUCCUUGAACUAGUCAGCUGUUGGUGAGUUUACAUAUUAGUACACGCACAAAAGGCGCAUAAGGCAAUAAUAGCGAUAGAUAAACAAUAGUGAAAUACAAAGAAACGACGCAUUCCAAAUAAUGACUAGAGUCCACGCAAGCAUAUUUUGACCACAUUUACGUCGUGAGUGCAUUUAUAGCUAACGAAACUGGCACAGUUCAUGUUUUCUUUGUUCAUUCAGUGAACGCGUAGAAUCGCGCGUAUAACUCAUUUAACUCAUUCAGUACCAGUGAGCAACAUAGUGAAAAUGGUGCAAAAAGUAUUAGUGGGCAGCGGGAACAUUCAGGAUCCAUCUGCCAGUACAUCAACCACCGAUCAAAGCUAUCGACAAUUCGAGGACCAGGAUAAUGACCCAGAAUAUGAAUCUAGGUGUGCACGAUCAUGUUGCCAUCCAGCAGGCAUGUGUCAUCGAUUUAUUGCGUUGUUCUUCAUGUGUUUUCUAGGUUUUGGUUCAUAUUUCUGUUAUGACAACCCAGCAGCAUUGAUGGAUUACUUUUCAAAAGACUUGAACUUAUCAACAACACAGUAUUCUUUGCUCUAUUCACUAUAUUCAUGGCCCAAUGUUGUUUUAUGCUUUAUUGGUGGAUUUCUCAUUGAUAGAGUGUUUGGCAUUGGAUUGGGCACAAAUCUUUACAUGCUCAUUACACUGAUUGGUCAAGUUGUUUUUUCCAUGGGAGUUAUGUUUGAUAUUUUUUGGGUGAUGGUGUUGGGCAGAUUUGUUUUUGGCAUUGGUUGUGAAUCCCUAGCAGUGGCACAGAACAAUUAUGCUGUUUUGUGGUUCAAGGGCAAAGAAUUGAACAUGGUUUUUGGUUUACAAUUGAGUUUUGCUCGAGUUGGCAGUGCUGUUAAUUUUUGGGUAAUGGAAUCCAUUUAUAAAUGGGUCAAUCAGUACUAUAAAGGUGCAGAAUGUCUUGGCAUUGUAAUAUUCAUAGCAACAUCAACUUGUGUUGCAUCCAUGUUAUGUUCCUUAAUAUUGGGAUGUUUAAACAAACGAGCGGAUCGAAUUUUGCGACGAAGUGAAAAUACACCAGGCGAAGUUGUUCGUCUUGGUGACAUUACAACAUUCCCAAGUACUUUCUGGCUUAUUUCCGUUAUUUGUGUUGCAUAUUAUAUCGCAAUUUUUCCAUUUAUCGCGAUAGGAAAGAAAUUCUUCAUUGAAAAAUUCCAUCUGGAACCACCAGCGGCCAACUAUGUCUGCAGUAUCGUUUAUCUAAUCUCAGCAGUAGCUUCACCAGUACUGGGUUUGCUAAUUGAUAAAACAGGCAAAAACGUGCUCUAUGUGCUUUUCUCGAUUAUGGCGACAAUUGCCGCCCAUUUAAUACUCAUUCUCUGCGACCUUAAUCCGUAUUAUGGUAUGGUACUGAUGGGAUUAUCUUAUUCUACUUUGGCUAGUAGUUUAUGGCCGCUGGUUGCGCUGAUUAUACCCGAAUAUCAAUUGGGAACAGCAUAUGGCAUAUGUCAAGCAGUGCAAAAUUUGGGUCUUGCCGUCGCAUUGAUUCUUUCCGGACUGAUCGUGGACCAAGGCGGAUAUUUCUGGGUGGAAAUGUUUUUCACAGCCAGUUUAUCUGUGGCACUUAUUACGACAUUGUCGGUAUGGAUUUUAGACAAUUCUCGAGGUGGUGUUUUGAAUAUGACACCUGGUCAAAGAGAUCGCAAUGCCGACGAAUUAUUGAUUAAUAAUGAUAGCGACAAGCCUGAUGGUACAACUGGGCCGAGUGACUUUGAUCCGAAUGAUUCUUUAAUGCCUAGCUCAGACUUCCACAUUCGUAACAGAUAUUUAUCGCGGAUUGGAGCUGUUAGUCAACAUUGAUGCAGGAUGAACAUGCGGGUGCUUGCUGAGCUUCAAGUCCCCGCACGUAUAGAUUAAUUCGACCAAUAUGGGGUUACCGUCAAAUUAUUCGAUAACAGCCAAAGGAUUGACAUACAGGGCUUUACGUUAAUCAAGAAAAUAUAAAUGUAAAAUGUGAGGUUAAACCCUAGCUCCUAGCUAGCGUAGUUUCUCAUUAGGAUAUAAACUUGAAAUCAAAAGUAAUUUUUGUCUGUAUAUGUGUGAUAAAUGUACAAAGAUGCAUUUUUGAUGUCGACUUUGACAGUGAAUACAAUGGUAUUUAAGAUUUAUAGCAACAGUUAAAUGCAGUGUCGAUUUUUUGAAUGCACAAGUUACACAAUACAAAAUAUUUGUAAAAAGCCAAACUUUAAAUGUAUAAGAACAAAUAUAUUAUUUUGCUAAA